rnacentral:rRNA from 1 species
CCCCUAGUAACUGCGAGUGAAGCGGGAAAAGCUCAAAUUUAAAAUCUGGCGGUCUUCGGCCGUCCGAGUUGUAGUCUGGAGAAGCGUCUUCCGCGUCGGACCGUGUACAAGUCUCUUGGAACAGAGCGUCAUAGAGGGUGAGAAUCCCGUCUUUGACACGGACUACCGAUGCUUUGUGAUGCGCUCUCAAAGAGUCGAGUUGUUUGGGAAUGCAGCUCAAAAUGGGUGGUAAAUUCCAUCUAAAGCUAAAUAUUGGCGAGAGACCGAUAGCGAACAAGUACCGUGAGGGAAAGAUGAAAAGCACUUUGGAAAGAGAGUUAAACAGUACGUGAAAUUGCUGAAAGGGAAACGAUUGAAGUCAGUCGCGUCGUUCAGAACUCAACCUUGCCUUCGGGCUCGGUGCACUUUCUGUUUGACGGGCCAGCAUCAGUUUUGACUGUCGGAAAAAGGUCUUCGGAAUGUGGCACCUCCGGGUGUGUUAUAGCCGUCGGUCGUAUACGACGGUCGGGACUGAGGACCGCAGCACGCCUUUUGGCCGGGGUUCGCCCACGUACGUGCUUAGGAUGCUGGCGUAAUGGCUUUAAA